UACGGAGGGUGCGAGCGUUGUCCGGAAUCACUGGGCGUAAAGGGCGCGUAGGUGGCGCGAGUAGUCAACGGUGAAAGCCCGGGGCUCAACCCCGGGUCGGCCGUCGAUACUCUCGUGCUUGAGCACUGUAGAGGCAGGUGGAAUUCCGGGUGUAGCGGUGGAAUGCGUAGAGAUCCGGAAGAACACCGGUGACGAAGGCGGCCUGCUGGGCAGUAGCUGACACUGAGGCGCGACAGCGUGGGGAGCAAACAGG
rnacentral:rRNA from 1 species